rnacentral:piRNA from 1 species
CAAAAACAAAAAAAACAAGAGCUCUGGAUU